AGGCCGCCACGGUGACUUGCAAGCAACUCACUGCACUUAGGCACUGAACUACCUGAAUUUCUAAUUCAGUGACGGAAGGCUGCUGGGUGUAGUUAAGUACUUGACUUGUCGGUGCGUGUGUCAAGAUGGGAUUGACCACUCCAGUUUAGGAGCUGUGUACAGUCGUAUUUCAAUUUAGCAAAAUCUUGGCCAGGGUAGUCCUAGUGAGGAGUUACAGGACUAAUUGAGUUGAGCACGAUUCGGAUGAUCUCAUCAGGGUUGACAGUUUAACCUUGAGUCGUCCUAAACACAGGGG
rnacentral:lncRNA from 1 species